GGUGGGCAGGUGUUGAACGGGCUCCCUGGUUUUUGAACGGUGGGUUGCCGUGCAGUCUGCUGCUGCUCGUGAAAUCGGCUUAGGGGCUCCUAACCAGCACGGACGCAUGAAGAGAAGAUCUUCAGGUUGUCUCUUUGCAUUUCCAAAUGAAUCUUCGCAUCAGCUUCCCCAGCUCUUCCCAGAAGCCUAUGUCUGUUUACGUUGGGAUUGCUGGGGAGAGUUGAGGCCUCUGCGGUAUUUGCUUCUCCGGUUUACUAGGCAGAAAUCUUUCAAAAAGUCUCAAAAGUUUUCCCGGUUUCUCCGCAAAGAUCUUUUGCAUGUUAGAUUUAUUCCUAGAUUGGGGUGCCUGGGUGGUUCAGUCGGUUAAGCGUCCGACUUCAGCUCAGGUCAUGAUCUCACGGUUCAUGGGUUCAAACCCCACGUCGGGCUCUGUGCUGACAGCUCGAGUCUGGAGCCUGCUUCUGGUUCUCUGUCUCACCCUCUCUGCCCCUCCCCCGCUUGUGCUCUGUCUCUGUCUCUCAAUAAUAAAUAAAUGUUAAAAAAAUUAGAUUUAUUCCUGGAUACUUCACUCCUUGAUGCUGUUAGGCCCCUCUCUUGCAAAUUGUUUGUUGCUAGGAAUACAGUUUUUAAAAGCCGAUUUUGUGUUCGGCUGCCUUGCUCAGUUUCAUUAUUCUCCAUGAUUUAUCUGUAGAUCGGUUUGGAUUUCUGACGUAGACGAUCAUGUGGUCUGUAAACGAUGCCCACUUUCUUCUCAAUCCUAGCGUGUUCUUCCUGGCCCUUGUUCCGUUCUUUAUCUCUCUCCCCUUGUCCUGUGAGCUCCUCUACUCCAAGGCAGAACCCACGAGCGCUGUGUCCCCUUGUCUGUUCCCGGUGUGCACAAAAGUUUUCCCGUCUCUACAACUGAGUGAGGUCCUCCAGGAGCAAGAGAGACGGGAGAGCGCUGGGUUUCAGGGGGAUGCACUGAAGAUCCUCUUACUAACAGAGAAGGUAUUAGGUGGCCCAGCCAGCCACAACAGCUCCGUUUUACUUCAUUCCUACUGAAUGUGUCACCAGGUGGUAGGGGAAGACCUGUAAACACGUUAUUACUGCAAAGGGGCGUAGAAUGUGUGAGCCUAAAAAUGCUGUGUUUAAAAAUAACAGCUCACCCUCGUUGAGCACUUUAUCAGUCACGGUUCGAUCGGGAACACAGAGGUGGUUCCGCAGAGGGAAGCUUCCCGCCUGAACAAAUAAUAAUGGCCUAGGAAGAGCCGCAGACGGCUAGGCAAGGCAGCCCAGAGCCCCCACCACCCUCUGGGCUGGAGGAACAGGUCCCUGGUGGCGUCAUCGCAGCCCGUUGGGGGCCGGAGCUGGAGGCUGGGACCGAAGGAGGGGCUCGGAGAGCUGGCCCCAGGGGGAAGCUGAAGACGACGCCAGAGAUGCUUCCAAAACCGAGGACAGAAACACUCGGGCUUCCCUCCUCCCAGCCUCCGGUGCCCGGUCGGACCGAGGUGGGAGCCAGCAGCCCUGAGCCCGGAGACAACUUGCAGGAGGAGCCUUCUGGGACCCUGAGCAGAGGGCGACAAUGGGUGUGGGGACACAGGCACCCCCGAGCACACGUGUUGCCCACUUUGUCCUUGAGGCCCCGUGACAAAGAAGCCAGGUAGAGUAGAAGCUCAGGUAGAGUCACAGGCUAAGCCUGGCGUCACCAGACCAAGACAGUCACAGUUUUGGGUCUCCCAGUAAUGGACUCUUACCAGUCAGUCAGGAGUCGCCCGGUGGGCACUAGUUACAUGGUCUCACCGAUGGAACCCUGCCGUCUCCUGAAGGAAAGUAACAGAUGCGAUGACCACCCUGUGUUUCCGUGUCGGGUGACUGCCUUGUUCCGGCCCCCUUCUGCCUGCGGGAGUCUGCGCAUGGCUUCUCGGAGCCCGUCUGUCUGCUGGCUGGAUGCCACCGAUCCUGAAUUAUUGAAGAGAGGCAGAAGGAUCUUUAAAAUGUGGCUUCUCCCCUUGUGUUAUUUUCAGAAGCUUUGAAAGCCCAGGAAGAGAAAGCACUCUUUCAACGUGACAAUUAAUACCAACUCCCCGGACACCAAACCGAGAGAUCUUAUUUUUCCUUUCUCUCCACGAGCACCGUUUGCUGGGUCCAGAAACAACCACCAAAGUAAAACCCCAGAUUUUCCGGGUGAGAGGUUCCGAACCGUCAUGGGGAAGCGUAUUCUUUCCCACCGGUCGUUGCAAGCACGAAACGGGCCCUUCCUGUGCCGGUAGCUGGACUGGGCAGGUGGCUCGUGGCUCUGGUGCGGCUCAGCUGUGUUAUUCCCGACGCUUCGGUCACCUUCACUUCCCAACUGUAUGGAUUCACUGUUUAAAAAUAUGAGACUAUGGGGACGCCUGGGUGGCUCAAUCGAUUAAGUGUCCGACUCGAUUUCAGCUCAGGACAUGAUCUCACAGUUCGGGAGUUCGAGCCCCACGUCAGGCUCUGCGGAGCCUGCCCGGGAUUCUCUCUCUGCUCCCCUCACCUCGCUCUCAAAAUAAAGGAAUGAACUAAAAAAAUAAAAA